GUGCUCGCUUCGGCAGCACAUGUACUAAAAUUGGAACGAUACAGAGAAGAAUAGUAUGGACCCUGCACAAGGAUGACACAAAUUCGGGAAGCAUUCAUAAAAAAA
ensembl:snRNA U6 U6 spliceosomal RNA